CAGUAGCCGCGGUAAUACAGAGGGUGCGAGCGUUAAUCGGAAUUACUGGGCGUAAAGCGCACGCAGGCGGUCUGACAAGUCAGAUGUGAAAUCCCUGAGCUUAACUUAGGAAUUGCAUUCGAUACUGGGAAGCUAGAGUAUGGGAGAGGAUGGUAGAAUUCCAGGUGUAGCGGUGAAAUGCGUAGAGAUCUGGAGGAAUACCGAUGGCGAAGGCAGCCAUCUGGCCUAAUACUGACGCUGAGGUACGAAAGCAUGGGGAGCAAACAGGAUUAGAUACCCCGGUAGUCCCUGUCUCUUAUAC
rnacentral:rRNA from 1 species